rnacentral:rRNA from 1 species
UUUGAUCAUGGCUCAGAGUGAACGCUGGCGGCGUGCCUAAUACAUGCAAGUCGAACGGAAUUUAAAAGAGCUUGCUCUUUUAAAUUUAGUGGCGCACGGGUGAGUAAUAUAUAGCUAAUCUGCCCCUUGCUGGAGGACAACAGUUAGAAAUGACUGCUAAUACUCCAUACUCCUUUUUACCAUAAGAUAAAUCGGGAAAGAAUUUCGGCAAGGGAUGAGACUAUAUCGUAUCAGCUAGUCGGUGGGGUAACGGCCUACCGAGGCUAUGACGCGUAACUGGUCUGAGAGGAUGAUCAGUCACAUUGGAACUGAGACACGGUCCAAACUCCUACGGGAGGCAGCAGUAGGGAAUAUUGCGCAAUGGGGGAAACCCUGACGCAGCAACGCCGCGUGGAGGAUGACACUUUUCGGAGCGUAAACUCCUUUUGUUAGGGAAGAAUAAUGACGGUACCUAACGAAUAAGCACCGGCUAACUCCGUGCCAGCAGCCGCGGUAAUACGGAGGGUGCAAGCGUUACUCGGAAUCACUGGGCGUAAAGGACGCGUAGGCGGAUUAUCAAGUCUCUUGUGAAAUCUAACGGCUCAACCGUUAAACUGCUUGGGAAACUGAUAAUCUAGAGUAAGGGAGAGGCAGAUGGAAUUCUUGGUGUAGGGGUAAAAUCCGUAGAUAUCAAGAAGAAUACCUAUUGCGAAGGCGAUCUGCUGGAACUUAACUGACGCUAAUGCGUGAAAGCGUGGGGAGCAAACAGGAUUAGAUACCCUGGUAGUCCACGCCCUAAACGAUGUAUACCGGUUGUUGCUGUGCUAGUCACGGCAGUAAUCCACCUAACGGAUUAAGUAUACCGCCUGGGGAGUACGGUCGCAAGAUUAAAAACUCAAAGGAAUAGACGGGGACCCGCACAAGCGGUGGAGCAUGUGGUUUAAUUCGAAGAUACGCGAAGAACCUUACCCGGACUUGAUAUCUAACAAAAUCAUCCAGAGAUGGAAGAGUGUCUGCUUGCAGAAAUGUUAAGACAGGUGCUGCACGGCUGUCGUCAGCUCGUGUCGUGAGAUGUUGGGUUAAGUCCCGCAACGAGCGCAAACCCACGUCAUUAGUUGCUAACGGUUCGGCCGAGCACUCUAAAUGAGACUGCCUUCGUAAGGAGGAGGAAGGUGUGGACGACGUCAAGUUCAUCGUGGCCCUUAUGUUCCGGGGCGACGCGCGUGCUUACGAUGGCGUUGCGAUUAGACGCGGCUCUCGUGGGGUGGAGCGGAUUUGAAAAAUGUGUUCCCGGUCUCGGGUUGGAGUCUGCGGACUCGGACUCCGUAGGCCGAAGUUCGCGGGUAUUCGUUGGCUCGGCCGUUGCGACGGUGAUGACGUUUCCCGGGUCUUGGCGCCCCCGCCCGUC